ensembl:lncRNA
CCCCUCUCCCUCCCUCUCUCCCUCCCUCCUCCUCCUUUGGUCGUUGCGUUGAAAACGCGUCGCCGUGCGCCGGGGAGCGCGCCGUGUUCACACCAGACGCGUCGGAGAGGCGAAGCGGGACACAAAAUAUGGAGUGGAAUCCAGUCUUAUUCUGGUGUUUUUUAGCUGCAUGUCGGUACUCACAGAAGCGAGAUGUUCGUAAGAAAUAAUAAAUAAGAAAAAACAUGCAUUGCGCCGAGAAGGGAAUGUGCGAGCGUGACGAGUCACUUUGUUGUUGGUGCAUUAUAAACAUGUGGUUUGUUCCUCUUUUAUAUUUAUAUGAAACAUCAUUUAUUGGGAUUAUUUGAUGUGAGUAUACGGAUUAAAACUGAAAGCAGGUAUUUUCUCUUUUCCCAUUCAUCUUAAUCGCCAGUAUCAAACUGUAUCCACCCGGAUGUAAAAGGUGUGAUGAAGAACAGAAGGAGAGCCUUCAUGGCCUCAUUGAUUUUGGAGCAGCUUGAUCCGAGGGUAGAUCAUCAGUGGAUUAACGUGGUGGCCAGCUGUGCAUAGCAGUGUUCCUAUUGCUAUGGUAAGAGACAUUUUGAAAGGUGCUUAAGUGACUGCCGCAAAGUAGUGGCACUAAAGGUACCCAAAGUCACUGCUUUUAGCAAGUAUUGUCUCUGUUGUAAUUUUACAUAGUUUUAAUACAUAUGUGUGUUGAUCUAUUCAUUGACCACAGGAGCAGAUUUCUAUCAGAGUGUUUCUCAUGUUUCUCUCUCUUAAUGCUAUAUGCUUGGGGGGAGGGAGGGAGGGUUGUGCAUGGUAUCAUUGCAUAUAUUAAAAAAAAUGAUGGUUAAUCUAGCACCCUACAAAAACGUGUGCUUUAUUUUGGUUACCCUUUUUGAGCCGAUUUAAAAUCUGGUCAUGCCACCAACUUUAAAAAUCAAAGGACGUAUUCAUCCAAAGUAAGAUAUUUAAUACAUCGUAAAUUUAAUUUGAUGGUAAAAUCUCAGUUAAGGUAGCCGUCCAGUGGCCUAACUAGACUUAAAAGUGCUCCAGCAAAGGUUUCAAUCUGUGUGUGUGUGUGUGUGUGUGUGUGUGUGUGUGUGUGUGUGUGUGUGUGUGUGUGUGAUGCACAUGGUCUCCCUUUAAUACUUUAGCCUUUUGCUAAAUGUAAUACAAAUGUGUGCACAUUCUAUUUACAAAUAUGUUGCGUUUCCAAAAGAUUCUUUUUCACUCCAGCUCUUUUUUUGGACUCCCACGUACAAAUCCCUCCCGUUGGUUCAGAGUUUAUCUUUGGGUGUCUUUCCAGCUGGUCGUACCCACUCCUCCAAAGGAAGGUGUAAAGAAAGAAAAAGAGUCACUCACUCAGUUGAAAGGAAGAAUACUGGGGAUGCAUUAGAAAUGGAGUUGUAUUAUCUUGACAAAGCCAUUACGACCGGCCAAACAGUGGUGACUAAAUCCUCACGUGGUAAAUCCCUUAUCACUGCAGGAUCCAUAGAUCAGUCUCCAUGCUUUCACAUCUGUUAUGUGAACAUAUUAUCAGCCGCAGGCACACUCUUAUGAUCCAAUAGGUCAAAUAGCUUUUCUUUGUAACCAAGUUUACUGUUAAUGUAACCGCAUAAACCUCCUAAACACCCCCUUAUAAAACAAAAUAAAUAAUGAAUGUUUUUUUCCUCUUCAAACAACUUCUCAUUUAAUGUCUAGCUGCAUUUUUUGGCAUUUAAAAAUGUUAAUACUUCCUUGGAGACACAUGGACGCGCCUUUUGUAACUGCGGCCCCAUUCAAAUAUCUCUGAGAUGUUGAAAGAGGCAUUUGCAUGAGUUGUCUGAAGCUGUGGGGAGACAUAACAUAACUCCUGCUGUACUGAACAGAUGCUCAGAGGACAGGAACUCUUAAUCUUCUAUAACGCAAUGCUGCGUUUCAGCAGAGGCCCCACUGAAAGGGGAACUUAAGCUAAAUUAGUAAUCGGAGUAAUUAGACAGCUCUUGGGUGCAAGGGGGUUACAUCAAACCUUGGACUCUUUGCAUACCCACCAUGCCUGCACUGAGUGCGCUCUUCUUCUCAACACCUGGUGAGUUUUUAUCAAAUGGCUUUCAGGGCUCCUCUUGAACUGGAUUCCUAGACUGCCACCUGAGACAACUUUACGCUGGGUGUCCGUACUGGCAGCAUAACAACGUCAUCGCUAUACGGAGACUGACAAAACUCUCCUCCAUGAUAAAUCAUUAAUUUUAGGUGUAAUUUGCCUCACAAAUGAAAUACGUUUCAUCACACAUAUUUAUUCUUAUUCCAGUGCUACGACUGAAUGAUGUCGCAAUUUAAGUUGAAGUGCUGAGUGAAGCGCAAAAGGCAACUGAUUUGUCACGUGAUGGGAAGAGGUGAAAGAAAAGUGUCAGUGUUCUAGUUGUGAGUUUCCUUUAAAGACGUUCAUUAAUGAGACAGAGGUGCUUCCUGUUGAUAGUCUAAAAACACCUCUUUAAAAACACAUCUUUAAUUGCAGUUUGUGAUCCUAUUUAAACAUAAUCACAACAUAAUUACUUUCAACGACCCAAAUUGCUGUCAGCUGAAAUCAAGUCAAGGGAUUAAUUAAAUCAAAUCAGUUUUUCAUUUUACUGUUGCUUAUUUCCUUGUUGCACAUUUGACCAUCCAGAUUCACACAGUCGGGGAAUCUGCUACUGUCAUGCAUUCAUUUUUAAUUUUAUUUGUUCAUGAUCUUAUUACAAAAAUGUUUGGAUUACAAAAAGUGUUCAUGACUCGAACAGAUGGUUCUUUUUUUCCAGCUGCGAGUUGACACCUAAAAAUGGUUCCGCUGGGUUAAUUUUCUGCGCACUAUAGACACGAUACAUAUCGUGUGUUAACAAAUUACCUGACAAAAAUACAUCAUGUUUUAGUGUUAUUUAACACACGCAUGGAAAUCGGAUUUUCCUUACAUACCCUUUUUAACACAGGAGAGAAAGCCAUUUAGGUCAGACUUUAAAAAUGGAUGAUUGGGCUUUUGGUUCUCACUUGUCACUCUGGGCUGUCACAUGGCCGGCUGUGAAAGGAAUGUGACAUAUAACUGCUGUACACCUACUUGAGUCAAGGCAGUUCAUGUGUAUCCUCCACUUCUGGGGGGCUUGUGGACAUUUCAUAUUUUAACAAACUAAGAAGGUGGUCUCCUAAAGUCCUCUUUGAAAUAAGACAGAAAACAUGCACAUCUGGUAGAAGAAGAAUACUUUUAAACUGUAAGGUGUUGAUUUCAACUGAGCCAACUAUUCUGACUCCUUAUGUCACAAAUCAAACGUCUCAUUUUUAAUGCACAUCAACAUACAAGGGUUUAAAAAAAAAGGCACGAGUCAUACAACUAUUUGUCUUUAUCAGCAUCCGUGUUCUGUAAAAUACGGCCAGAGAGGCCGCAACCGUUCCCCACAAGCCCGAGGCGGGAAGACUCUGAGGACGUGUUGGUUACUCAUUCUUCCUCACCUCAGGAAUGGUGCAUUGUGUUAGAAACAAACAUGUCUUCGGGCCAUGUCUUGGGCCGAGUACAGUAUGCAAACACCAAAACACAUUUUCCAUGAUAAAUCCUCUGUGUCUGCAACGGUCGACCUGUUCAGGCAACACAAUCCAAGGCAAAAUGUACUGGGUUUUGUGAAUCUCAAAAGCAAAAAAAAAUACAUUUGCUCGCUUACAAAAGUCCCAGCUUUAAAUCAUCAUCCUUUCUAACCUCAUACAAAGUAAAGCCCAAUCUCCUCCACCUGGGACCCGCUGAUUUGACAAUGAAUUUGCCAUCUCCUGGUAUUGAAUAGCAGUCUAUUCAGAAUGUGGCCCACCGCCACGAGAAGAAUUCUACCUGACAGACUCCCCAAACACUCGCAAACAGCCAAGGUGAAGCAAUAAAACAAGGUAGAUUAGCACAUACAGAUAAGUGUCCUGUCAUUAGACCUGACCAUUUCAGGGAUUUAUCUGCGGUCUGGCUCUACCAGUCCGGUCGUGCCUUGUUCACGGUAUAAUUGUUCAAAGACUAUGAUUUGUUCCAUGUUCAAACACUCAUCAUCAACAUUCAUCAUCAUGAACUUUUCAUUAAAAUGCUGUAUGCUUUUGCAAAUAUAUUAAUUAAACAUGUUGUGACAGUUGAAUGUUGAGUAAAUGAGAGUUUACUCCUUGCAAUUACCCUCUACUACUAGUAGAGGGUAAUUCUACUACUAGUUUUACAUGCAAUAUGCUGACUUCUGAGGAACAGCUUUAAAACAUUGCAGGUCACAAAGUUACAUGAAUCCAUCAAUAAAAUCAUCCGGUUAUAAAGGAAGAUACAUUCCAUUAACCUGCUCUGAGAAUAGAUGUUUAAAGUUUAAAGGGAUUUGUUUUCAACCAACAACAUGUUACUUCGUAUCUGCAUUAGAAUCUUCACAGGAUUAAUUAAUUCUACUGAUGUUCACCAACACCGAUUUAAUAUGCUGUGCAGUCCUUCAAGCUCUGCCCCGUCCCCCCUCCCGGGGCAUCUAAUGCAGCAUCAUGAAUCAGUGGCAGAUACUCUCAGAUGAAACCUAAGUCGAUGUCAAUGGUAUGUCUGAAAAGCAGAAAUGAUACAACACAUGUCCGAUUUCUUGAUGUCAGUUGCUCACGAUGACUAAAAAAAAUACAUAUGAUUUAAAACGCUGCUUGUAACUAUUAGUCGGACACAAAUGUCAAUAGUAAAUGAAUUGAAUAGGAGUUCAUGUUUUCUUUCCAUUCACACUCAUUCAUCUGCUCACAGUUGCCUUUUAUGGUUUUAUAGCUGUCUAUUAAAGGAAAAUUAAACUCAAACUAUGUUUGGUUGUGCCCUUGUCAAUGAAGACACAACUGUUUCUCUUGGGCGUUAUGGCCUUUCUUUUACAGUAAAUAGAGAAACAGAAGUUCGUCGGAACAACAACAAACAUUUUCCAUAAACCACGCCAGUUUUUAUUUAAACACCUGAUAUUAUUUUGAGAGAUUGAUUGAUGGGAUUUCUGAUGUUGGGGUCGUCGUGGCGCAGGGGGUAGAGCGGGUGUGGGUUGGAGGUUUGAGUCCCGGCUGCCCCAUGUCUCAAGUUGAAGUGUCCCUGAGCAAGACACCUAACCCCUAAUUGCUCCCUGGGCCUAAUGUAAAAGCCAUGGGUUUAGAGUGUAAUGUAAGUUGCUUUGGAUAAAAGUGUCUGCUAAAUGACCUGUAAUGUAAUGAUGUCACACAAUGUAUCGUUCAUGUAAAGCGGCAGAUCAGUGAAGAAGAAGUGAGCGGAGGAUUGGAUUCGAUCUCUUUUGGAGCAAACCUUUGUGUACAGUCCUUCAAAUAAAAGCAACGGAAACAGUUUUUUGUCAUGAAAAUACAUUUCCCACAUUACUACAUUUGCUCAACAGAGAAAUCUUUAAUUGAAUUUAAUACACUGUCUUUUGUGUUUUAAUAGUUCUCAUUAGGGUGAAAAUAAACUCAUAACAGACUCUGAACUGGUUUAAAAUCUUCACACAACAUCGAUCCAGAACUUCAAAGCAGGCUGGUAAUUAUGUCUUUUCUGCAGCUCAAGUUUCAUUCUUGUCUGAAUGCCUUGAACCUGGUGCAGCACAUCCCAGACAACCACGCUCCACUUGGGGCAACGAUUAACUGGUUACCUCAUUUUUACAUUCAGCGUGGCAGACUGACAUUCAUCACGACUGUGCCGUCAUGAACAGGAGCUGGGAGGAUCGAUGCAACCCAAUUAGAAACACUGAAUCUCGUGGAUCAAAGGCCUACUCCGACCUUAGGAAUCUGAUUACUAGACAAUGCGUUAAUAUAGAGCCCGGUCGGUCCUGUGACAGCAGUUUCCCAUCCUUUGAGGUUCCUCCUGCUGCUGCCGGAAUACCAACAGUCUUUCACUGUUACGGCCCUUAUGCAAUCAAUUUCAAUCUAAGGCCAGUGGUCAAUCACCCUCCAAUGGCAGACACACCGAGUCUGCAAAAAAAAAGAGCAUGUAUAGGCUUUACAAAGCUCCCAGAGUCCAACAGGGGUUUGCAAACAACACAGCUGGGACAAACAAGCCAAUUCCUGACUCGCCUCGGCUCCUUUGGUCUAAUUCUCUCGGCUGAAUCUGCCAGAAACCACAAUGGUUUGGACUAUUCUGUGUGCCUGGAAGACGUUCCGAGAAUACAUUGCAAGUCAAAUUACCUGUGGGAAUUGGUAAGACAAAACAACACCUGAUGGCUUGAAAAGACACAGAUAAGACAAGAUGAAUGGGAGCGGUGAAGCGGCACCGAAACUCAAACUGAGCUGUUGACGAAAUGACCAGGAAAAUGGUCAAAAGCAGUAAUUAUGUAUGUUAAUGUGUCUGUUUAGGUUUGGGGUUUAUUUUUGCGGAGGCGAAGAUUCAUAAAAUUGAAUUCCUUCAUCGCACACAAAUCACACAAUCAACCUUUGCUUACUUCCCUUUUUGCAUUAUUUUUGAUUAGCUGGAAGCUAACUUGAGCUGGUAUCUGUCUCCAAUAGAAGAAUUGCACCAGAAUGACGUUAACAAAGACUGUCUACAUCCCUUUCUAUUAAUAAAAUCCUAGCGUGCGCCUUAGUAUUGAAAUUCAGCUCCUAUAAUAUAUUUACAUUUUCAAAGCCAUCUCGCAGGGGACGUCCUCAGCGCAUUCUCAGACGAUCGUAUCUCCCUUUCCUUUCCAAGGAACGUAAAAGAAAUCCACUUUUCUGCUUUUCUCUACCACAACAACAAAGGCCACCACAGAAAAGGCGAUUGCGUAUUUCACAGAUAUCGUGUGUGUGUGCCUCUACCCCUUUGUUUCUCUACCCCUCACUUUUCUGACACUUACUUUUGCACAGCAAUGUGUUUGGGUGUCUCGUGUAUCUCAUCAAUGGCCAAAUUAUUACCUGUUGGUGUCUUUGUAACAGGUCAAAAGAUUCCAUAUAGUAUUUAAAUUGAUGCAUUUGAGUGUUUCUUGGUUUUCAGGGGAGCUCGUUCUAUCUGACUCCCCCUGCAAACAAAUCAAAAAGCCACGGACAAGUCCUCAGUGUGUGUGAAUCCUCUGAUUAAAGUGAAUUUCCAUCAAGGAUGUGACACACUCUGAGAAUUCAACCCUGCCCUCAUGGAAGGGUCCGGGCACCUCGGGGACCUCGAGUCUAAUUUGCUUCAAACCUAAAAGGCAGAUAACAGUGCUGAUCUGACAGCGAGCCAAGUCCCAGCUUCCCUCAUCAAGAACACAUUUAAUUUUCAACAUCAAACUGCUUGCAACAGAAAUGAAAACCCUUUGAAUGAAUGACGUGGGGAGAACCUUAAGAAAUCCUUGUUAUUCUUGAAUACGCUAUUAGCCUCCGAGAUUAUCCGUUGUCCAAAAUUUUAAUUUGAGGAUGUUUUAUUUGAAAGUCACAAACGUUCUUGAACUCCUGAACUAAAUGUGUUUGACUGUUUGUAUUUAGGAAAAGGUUAGAUUAAGAUCUAAAGUUUUACUGUCUUUGUGUAGUUUUAAACUGUGUACCUUUGCUUAAACUCAGGUACAUCUAAGUUACUUCACUAGAGAAGUUUUACACAACAUUUAAAUUCGAGAUAAAAUGUUCCUUUUAAUCAUUUCAGGUGAUCGAUGUUUAAUGAACAAUGUGUGUGAUUGCUGUUGUAUCGUUGUUGGCAUACAACACACAUGGUUUAGUUCUUUAAUGACAUCAGGAAUAUGUUUUGUAUUUCACACACCAAUACAUGGCUUCAUAGUUCAAGGCAAUACUGUAAAAAAAACAUCCGGAUGGAUGUUGGUGUCGUGGCGUUCCAGCGGAACAGUGUACACCUGUUUCAGUCAAACUCAAUUACUGCGGCUCACACGGCUUCCUCCAUAGACUUCUAGGUAUCUAGACCACUAAAACACUCGGUACAGAUAUUGUGGGCAGAAAAACGUCAUUCAGAUGAACCUAUGAAACACGCUGCCGUUGCAAAUUAUUUGAAAAUCAGCGUAACUGGCAGGAGAAAGGAUUCGUCCUUUCUCCUGCAUCUGAAAUCAAUGCGCUUGUAGUCACAGGCAAACAGUAUUGUGAUUCAAGGGCAAGAAUAUAAUGAAAUUAAACUAUAAAUGGUAAAUGAAUCGACUUCACCUCUAAGCCAAGUAAUUGCGUCAGCUAUCGACAGAUUCCUGGCUGUUGGAAGCGGCCUGUAAUUGAAAUAAAUAAGCCGGCCUGUAAACCAGCUAAUUAAAGGACAGAAUCAUUGGGUCAGAGUAGAGAUCUAUUGAAGAAGCCUUGAUGGAAAUUUCUAAUAACAUCUUGCUUGGCCAUUUUGGAAAGUGUUGAAGCCACAUCAAGUGUGAGCACCUAAAGGUCAUUUGGUGCCAUGGAGCAGAAGUAACUUUUAACUUGCGGCUGAGAGUUUGCUCCAUGACUAAAGAAAAGAAGAAGCCUCAUUCUAGGAGGAUUUGGGUUUUCGGUAUAGGGAAGAAAUCGGCCGUGGUCUUUUUAUACAGCCUGGUGUACGGAUACAUUUUCCCUUCCAAAACUACAAUUCAAAUCUGUCUUCAUUUACAAACAUACCCGGUAUCUCUGUGCUCUUUUGCUCAGUUGCGCUGAGAUGAGGUGAACUUGCUCAGCGCACGCUCUAUUACCCAGAUGGCGCUACCACGGAGGUUACAGCUCAUUAAUUCAAAUCCUGAAUGACGUGUACCGAUAUGAUGGAGAUGAUGAAGACAGAGGCUUCUUUUGCAAGUGAAUAGAUAGUUACACACAGUAUUGUGGAUUCCCAUAAGUCUUGUAACUGAAUGUUGACUACAAUGAUGCUCACGUGUUUGACGAGCACGUCGGAUCAGCGGCUACAUGCUUGGAAAUCACAGUCACCCAGAAGGAAAGCAACAUCGGAGAUAAGAUAUCCCUGUUACGCAGUCCUAACUCAUCAAUAAGGGUCCUGUUUUCAUGGUCUCCCACUCAUUUCUUCUUUUUCUUCUUUUCUUUUACAAUGAAUUGCCUGCAUGAAGCACUCCGAGGUUCUACAUUGAAAUUCAACUUACAAGUGGAGUCAACUGUGUAAACUGUAAUUUUUCUGGUUUGUUGUGAAACAGAAUUGUUCCAGUGAGACUGAUCAUGAUAAACUUUUCCCCAAUGCACUGUGGGCCACUGACCCCGGCCCUUUUAGAAUUAGCAGCAUUGUCAAAUUUCCUUCCUAAACUGUUAAGAAACAGUUCAUUUCAACGAGUCUCCCCCAGCAUCACAAUAGCAUCAAAGAUGAUUCACGCAUCUAGGACAAAGGACUUGACACUGUAAUUUCACCAAAGGAGAUUAUUCCCAUCUACAUUCAACUCUGCCUCGCGGCAAUUAUAAAAUGUAAAGGCACAGAGAGCUGCUCUGCUGCUGAAAGGAAAUAUUAGUUUAUUUCUGCCAAAUGGCACAUCUUUAGCAGCACUCAGUGACGUGUGUCAUCCAGAGUUAGACCCGGCUGUCUCAUUUGACAUUGCCUGCAGCAGUAAGAGUGUCAAGUGUGAUGUUCAGAUCAGAUGAGGGUCAAACCGUCAAUUUUCCCGACUGAAGAUGGUGACAGAUUUCUCGCAGCUUUACUUUGUUAAGUUUCAGAGAAUGGAGCUGAAAUAUUAUGCUAAUUCCUGGCGGGAUAAAUAGGAGACACAAUAAUCUAUAGUAGCUCAUUAGAGAUUUAUUCUGUGAUGGUCAAUUAUACAAUGCAUUGUCAUUGGUCGCAGUGGCACUGUAACUGUAUCGUUUCACUGUGGGUGAAGCACAAGGAGUGCUGCGAAUGUUAAUACCUGCCUUCACCAAUAAGCAUUUGCAUUUAGAAUUAUGGUGGAUGACAUGGUUAUUUUAAAUGCAGGCCAGCUGGAGACCAUCUAAUGCAUAACGAUGAGAUAUAUCAUUUGACUUUAUAAUUCAAAUGGUCCACCUGAGCAAUGUCCUACUGUGGAUAUGUAGCUAAUUCGUACCUGCAAUGGAGAGUAGUUAAAUAAGGACUGAGGUCUUCUUCUUCUCAACCACAGUGCCCGCAACGGUACAUGAACGUUACAAGACCACUUCUGUUUCCCUUUGAGACGAGUCAUUAAUUAAUGAGACACUGCCGGGAGGGUUGUGUCUUUCUCCUCAGUUAGUUUUCUCAGAGAAAAUCAAUGCGUCACUUUAUCCGUCGAUAAACUUUUGUGUCACACUUUUGAUGUGUGCAGAAAGACAAUGAGAUUGCAUCCCGACACAGAUGGUCCCAGAUCGCGGCACGUGUGUUAAAUAACCCCCAACCACUUCUUAGGUGGUUUGCGGGGUAAUAAAUUAUUUUAAUACCGCAAAAUAAAACCAAUUGUCAGAGGAAUACAGAAUACAUAAGUUAGACUUUAAUGGGUGGUGCUGCCUUAGCUGACCUGGCUUCACAACUCUCUUGCUUAGCAGUGCUCAGCGAUGAUGUGCAAGAGAGGCAGAGACUCAAAUAGAGCAGCUGUAACCACAAAGAGCCACAAAAUGUUUCCCAAUUUAUUUAUCACUGCAGGAGAAAAAUAAAAGUGAGGCAAUACUCAAUAAUAUCUUAACUUGAAAUUGUCAUGGAUUAUUGCCCAUGAAUGCGAAACUAAAAAGAUUUAAUAGUAAAUGUUGUGGUUUUCUUCAAUUGAACAUUGUCAGUAUGUGUUCUUUGAGAGAAAAUGAAUUACGUUAACAUCUUAAAGUAAAGCUUUAUUUCUCUUUGAUUGAACACUGCAGCAGUGAAGUGCCUUCAGUGAGAUAUGGGUAGGCCAAUGUUGCCUUUAUAAAACACACAAAAAGGAGGAAAAGACGCAGCUGCUGUCUUCUUCCUUCAUUAUCUGUCUGAAAAUAAAUACAUAGUUCUGUAAAAACACCCAUUCCACACAUUUGUCUCAGUGAGAUAAAGUGAGAAAACACGAGGUGUUGAUGGGUGGAAUUUUAAGGAUGCAUCAGCCUAUUUGCUAUUCUUGUAAAAGUGUGAACUUGAUUCAUGCUAAUUCAGUAAACAGACAAUAGGACAGAAAAUGUGAUUGCGUUGGUUGAAGAUUCAACAGUAAGUUGGUAUAAAAGAGUGGCUGAAGUGGUUGGCAGCUCCCGAGUCAUCACAGCAACAGUCCAUCACAUGCUGGACUAAUUUACUUUUAAUGAGGGUUCUUCACUUCAAAGUUUUCUUUCUCUUUUUUACGCAAAUACAUUGAAGGGGUUUGGGUGUUAGCUUUCACUUAAUCCACCAACUCAAGAAACCCACUGAAAACCUUCGCUGUCUUUGUUGAGGAAACAGCCUGCUUCCUGUUCUGUGUUCAGAUUUCCCAACAAAACCUCCUCCGGGUCGGCUUAUUUUAUUAUGAUUAAAAUGUAUUGCUGCACAAGCUGACCAUUACUGAAGAGCUAUUUGACUGUUUAGUGUCUCUGAAUUUCACAGUAAUGGUUGUGAGUGUUGGACCACCAGCUGUGCAGUUCUUUACAUGCAGAGCGGAACAUCUUUAAUAUAGAAAUUAGUCACUUCACAAAAACAUUAUGGAGAAGCAUCCAACACAUUUUCCACACUUAUAGACAUAAAAGGACACAACGUUUGUUGUUGACUUCCAAAACUGCACGUACGGGAGGACCGUUGUCUUGCCUGGCAAAACAGAUCGUUUGCCAACUACAAGAGACCAAAAUGUUUAAUAGUAUACUUUUCCGCUUUGGCUCUGGUUAGCGACUUGGUCAAAGUAAAGACAUUUUUAUCGCCAGUGCACCUUACAGUAUGCUAUAUUUCCUGCACAGCUAAAUAUUAUCUUAACAGAAAUGCACACGAAGAAAAAAUGAGUCACAACAGUGGGAUUAAGACAAGAAAGUGUUACUGUUCAUCAAUGGGACUAACCGCCCAGAUUAUUCUGGAUAGUUCACACGAUAUACUGUAAUACAGAUGGAAUGCACAGAGAUCUUUCAACACUGUCUGCCCUGUGUGGCCUUUUGACAACCCAAACCCGAGAGACAAUAACUGUUUCAAUGCCAUCCCAGCUUCUCUAAAUACAUUUUAAAAAAAGCUUUUCCAAGCUGCAAUUUGGACAGAAAUCAGAAAAGCCAGCUGCCAAACAACAGGUACCCGGGAACGAAACCAUUUGAUAUAAGAUUGCUUAGGAAAUACACCAUCACAAACACAAUAAAGCACUGCGCUGGUCCCCUGAGACUGUCUGAGACUCCCGGGCCAGAUAACUGUAGCGCAGUUGCUUCAGCAUCUGCAGUGCUGAGACCCCUGCCAGCUCUAUCUCACUGCCUGACUUACUGGAAAUUAGCUGAGCAGAUAAAAAUGAAAAAGAUUGGAAAGGUUUUCCAAGCCAAAAGGGAACUUUGACUCCCCAGAGGCAGAGAGUGAGAGACAGGUGACAGAAGGGGUGAGUGUAAAAGAGGACACAGAUUGGAGGCUGUUAGAUAGACGUUUUUGGAAUUUGGCAGCCCAGCAUAGAACCACAGCGGUGCUCUUUCUUGCACAUCAUGUCUUUGGGCCGCCAUUUGAGACUGCAGCUCCUCAGACUGGCCUAUAUUUUUGCAAGGACAUUUUUGUUUGUAUGACAGCAUCCACAUAUAACGUGCAACCAUUGCUAUUACGUUCACGCUUUAUUAUGUAGUAUUAUUUAGACUGUAAUAUAUUUCUUGUACUUUUAAUGUGAGUGUAAAACAGGAAACCGGUAAAACCAUGUGGCCAACAUGUUUAUCAUUUUUAAGUUUUACUAAGAUACGAGGCCAUGAAUAUGAAAUAAGAUUUUUUGCUCUCUAGAAUCGGUGGCAUACUUGGUGACACUUUCAAUUGGACCUAAGCGUGUGUUUUCUUUAUUGUAGAAAAUGUGUGAGUGUCUGUGCUGCAGUGUCUACCAGUAUAAUCAUUAGACUAUCUCCAAUAAAUCCAAAGCAUGUAAAGUAUUUCAAGCAGGCAGGAGGUUGUUUCCUAAUCUCCAUUGGGCAUUCUUGGAAUUCCGUCCGUGUCUCACUUCACCGGCCCCGGAGUCAGCAAGUGUUCUGGGACAAAAGAUUGUGAUUAAGCUCCUUGUGAAAACUCCUCAUCAACCUGCUCAGAAAAUUAAUUGUUUUUCACGGCUAAUUCAAAAGCACAUUAGCAUAAAUUGACAGCUGCGGUGUGCCAUGUGCUUAUGUAAAAUUGGAGUUCAUCCUGCGGUCCUGCGAUCCCGGAGAAAGAGUCACGGUUAACUCACGGAGGUCAAAUUAAGGAGCAGAUCCCCCUCCCUUUCGAGUGGAUGCCAGCAGAGGAUUGCUGCCUCAGCAGCACGGCUGACACUGGGUUUUUGUGUCAGUUAGCAGAAUUGAACAAUCCCCCGAGACAAAACAUCAACACACACAAGGUGCCUUCUGAAUAUGCAAUGAGGCCUACAAGUGCUAAAAGGAGCUGACCAGGUUUGUGUAAAAUCAGUCACACCCUGAUAACCCUGCAAGUGGCUCUGUGUCGAGCCCUCAAGGUUAAGAUUAUGCAACAAAAUAAUGUUGGCUAGUAAAUUGUGAUCAAGCGCCACUUGUUACUGUACAAUUCUGAGCGGAUUUUUACAUUGAUUGACUGUUUGAGGCCAUCUGCAGACGUUUGAGGGCUGUUCGAUUUUGAUGGAACCAACAAUGGCCCGAACCUCGGUGAAGGCCGACAAACACUUGAAGUCACACGUCCCCUUUUUUUGAAAUCCUUGACAGACACUUAACAAUUAUUGCACCAAGAGACGUUCCAGCGUGCACAAACAUCCUCAUCGGAUCCUCGAGGAACCAAAGCAUGUAGAUUAUCGCGUAAGAUUCCGGUUGUUAUUCAGAGGGAAAGGAGAGCACAUCGCAUCCAGAUAACGAACCAAGAGUCUUGUUAAUUUGGCUGCUGUGUCCUACAUCAUCUUCUCUAAUCGAGGGACAGCGAGAGCAAUAACUGUCCGCAAUAAAAGGUCAGUUUCGCAUGAGGCCAAGCUGAAAAAUUACCAGUCAUGGGUGAAGGGGCUAGUAAAAUGAAUCAUUUCUAGCCAUGGAUGAGGAGAGUGCAACAGAGAGCGAGGGGGAGAGAGGGAGUUAAGGCCGAACUCUGAAUACAGAUUAGGGAGGAACGGUUCCACGAGAUGUGAACAACACAAUCAAGCUGAAAGGCAGAAAGCACAACCCUGGAGCAGGGAACAUUUACUGUGUCUCAGAUAGAGUCGGCCUUUGAAUGACAUGAGACAACCGGCAUUAGCAAAGAGACACACGUUCAUUUCCCAUGGAAACACCGGAUAGCUCAUUAACAAAUAUUCCCUCAUCACCUCCGCAAGCACUUCAUUUCCCAUGCAACAUAGCAUUUUGAAUUAUUUAUUAACCAGAGAGAGUCAUCAGACAUUUUAUUAGGCCUGUGUUAUCAUCAGUGGUGCAGCAGUAAAGUUAGUCUUUAAUAGGAUAUUCAACCCGUAUUCAGUUUUGCUUGGUGCUGGACGCAUUUUACAAUACAUUUAUGCUGACUUGCCAAAAUCUGUGAAACAAAGAACAUGUAUUAAAUUGCUUUCAUCUUGCAUACAAUAUAUUUCAUUACUUAAACUAUGAGUUUUUACAAUUUUUAAUUCUAACAUAAUCAGUUGAUUAAAUAGUUUUGAUGAAAGUGGACCCAGCAACUGAAAUGUAAAAUCUAAAUUAUACUUAUAUACAGGUGGCAUAUUUGUGUUUUUGCACUUUUUCCUUUUCAUUCAAUAAUCCCAUUAGAAGGGUGUGUCCUGGGUGUCAUUUAUUGAUUCGUUUUGGUAAUCGCUUCGAGUCGUUAGGUCAAGUCACAUCAUGGGAGUUUGGUAAAAACUAUCUUCCUUUGAAUAAAAAUAUGUAUCAAAAAUACAUUAAUCUCAAAUCAGUAAUACAAAUAAGUGUAUGAGACCAAUUUAGCAUAAAUUAUUAAUACUUAUUUUUUUGAAAUACUAUUUAAUCAAUUGAUGAUACCUUCAGCUCUCAGAUGUUUAACUCAAGCUCGAGAAAGUGAGCAAUCACAUCCUACUUCCAACAUGUUGACAUGUUGUCGAUUAUCAAUCUUAAGAAGCAGGCCUGCAGCCACAGCUGCUUAGGCUGCACUUGUAUUCACAACAUUGCUCUGAGCCAAAAGCAAACAACAGGCUCUAUGCUAUAUGGGUGAAACACUCCAUCCAACUGCUCCUGAAAUUCCACUCAAAUUGACAAAUACCCACUUAGUGAGGUGAGAUCACGUGAAGUUUCACCACUUGCGCACCAAUUAUGUUUGGUCAGAAAUGUCACGUCCCCACAUACAGAGCCAUGGUGACUCCGUACAUCACUCCACCAUAUUAUUGCAUGCAAAGGGUAGAUUGCUGCGCUUUGAACGCUCUGGGUGUCUAAACAUUUUUCAUUUGAAAGAGAGGAUGAGGCCGUGUUAGUUGAUCUCUGACACAGUUCAGCCACGUAACCCAACUUGAAAACACCUGACAACCCACGGCCAAGCAGCAAUCUGUGCGUAAUAAAAGCCCAACAUUUUCUUGACAACAAAAUAAAUAGAGCUUGCGAGAGGAACCGGUAUGGACUGAUGAGCAGGAAUACACUCUUUGAGUUCAUGUCCUUUCUGGAUGGUCCCCAUUUAUAUCGACUGUCGGGUAAAGAGGACGUGAUAAUGAAAAGGUGAACACUCCAGUGAGUGGCUCCCUCUGCCAGCCUACCAUGCAGUGCAGAAUAUUGAAAACUCUGCUUAGGGGCCUGAAGCUGGAUGGAUUUGUGUGAGUGCCUGUCUGGUAUAAGGUAGGUGAAGCAUUCAUCUUGUUAAAAUGUACAUACCUGCUUGUGAACAUUUUGGCAAUGAAGUUUAGUGUAAAAAGAAAACAUGGCAAAUGCUUGCCAUUAUUCAUGACCGACGAGACUGUAAUUUAAUGUAAAUAUUGUGUUGAAUUCUCAUGGUGCUUUAUUACAAUUUUAGUAUAUUUUACACAGAGUAUUUGCAAUAUAUCCUGCCACAAGCUCUUCAUUACAUAUACAGAUACCUCCCUCUGCUGGAGAAAAGAAUAACUGCAUUUUGAAUUCAGAGAAACAAAAAAAGUUCCUCGUACCUCAACGUAAUAUGGGAUUAAAGCCUCAUUAACACCUGCAAUCAGCUACAGCAUCCAAAUGUCCACAAAGGUGAACCCAUGAUGAAAACCGCCACAGGCUGCUUGUUGUUUAUACACUUUGUAUGGAACACGCUUCCAGAAUACUGGAGGUGUGCUCGAACCGUGUCCUUUAAGGUCAAGACUUAAAACUGUUUGCUGCAAUGUUUCCUUAAAUCAGUUAGAUGUUGCAUCCUUUAUACUUCUGUUCAUUUAAAUAAAAGGAUGUUAUGGUAUUGGCAGGGUAAAAAAGUGUUUGACCAUGAUUUUGUUGAAUUAAUUGACACAUGCUUGACAAUUGGAUUGGAUGGAUGGAUAUUUGUCAGUCAAGCAUUCAGGCUUUAUAAAUCCACAAUAAUUUCCACGGCCAUUUUGUGCCGUUCCAGCAGCAUAACAUCUUCUGCAUUUAGUUUCUGCAGCUUUUAUCAUAAAAAUGGAAAAGUCAUAAAUAUUCCAAUAUUUGUUGAAUUGUUUCUCCAGUUACUGCCGGCCAGAAAAGUGAACAUGCUUAAGUAUCUCAACCCAAAUUACUUUGGAUGGCGUGCAGCAAACACUACAGUGCUUAUUUAAGCCAUUAAGUGGUACACAUACACAAAUGUGACCUUCUCUUUAAAAGGGAUUUAGAGAAGUCACAAACCCAAUAGUUUAGUCAUCAAUGGAAAUGGGCAAUAGAAUCAUUUUAUUUGAUAAAAAUUAUACAUGUAGUGAAGUUGUAUUAUUUGUCUGGCAGGUGAAUCCAAUUAGGCCAAUUGAAAUAUUCUCUCAUCUUUUAAUUCAGUAAUCGUCACUUUGUGACAUCAAAAAACAUUUACAGUCACAUUAUGAAUCAGUUGUACUAAAAAAGACAUGAUACUCCAAGAGAAUCAAAGAAUCUACAUUUUGCAGUUAGAUUAUUCCAUGACAUGAAAGAGACUGACAUAUUUCAUGUCGGCCGUGUCACAUAACCUGGUGUAGAACAGUUCCACAUGUCCUCAACAGGCCGGGACAAGUGCAAUACCACAUGUGUACAGAGCAUUGCUACCUCUCCCAACCUGCUCAGAAAGGGAUCACUUCUGAUGGAAUCAUUUCAGUUCUAUGAUCAGUUUUGCAUGGAUUUGCACAGCACUACAGAGAAAAGCUGAAAGCAAACCAGCAAAACUAACCAGAGACCCAUGUGCAUAAGCUACCUCUGCCGUGGCCCCCGAGAAGCAACACGCAUCUAGAAGUAUUUCAAGUGCUCACACUGCAGUAGAAUUUUAAAGAACUACCUGCACUAUAAGCACUUUAAUACUACUGACACACGUGUAUCUGAGCUGUAGUGGAAACCUGAUUUUCGCUCUUCCUCCGAGGUUUUCAAACAGAAAAAGACGAUUCAGAUGGAAACGCAGGCCACCGUUAGCUUUGCAUAGAUUUGCACAACGCAUUUCUUCUUGGAGCGCAACUAUGCAAAACUAACGGAGAACUGCCUCAAUUAGAAGGCGUUAUUGGCACAGACACAAAUAGACACAGGGGAGAUGAGCGACCCAGCUCCUUAUGCCAGAAGGGGCACUUAGGGCAGUAGGUGCUAGUCUACUUCACUAUCUGCACUAGAUGCACCUUAGCAUAAGCACUAGUAGAAGGCACCAAAGGGCCAGUUAAGUUAUGCCAGAUACCCAUUUUAUAAUGAUUGGUCAGUUCAUUUAACUUACCAAACACGGUUCAACAGUACAUUUGUCGGUUUCUCCCAGUAAUCACUUUAUAUAUAUAUAUAUAUAUAUAUAAAUAAACAAAAAACCUGCUGAACAUUGAAAAGGGUGCCUCACAUAUAUCAAGGGUGUUUGAAUAGGAGGGACCUCGCGUCACAUCGUUCCCGGCGCUCAGGAACAUCACAGCAGGGUGGUGAGCGGAAACCGUCCAGGAAAUAGCCCGCUUCUUUGAUUGCCAUUAUCAGAAUAGUGCUGAAAGUGCCUUCACUGCAGUAGAUUUGAUAAAACUACCUGCACUGUAAGCACUUUGACACUGCAAAUGACUUUCACAGGGAGCUUUUUAAGUGACAUGAUGCCGUUCAAUCCAGCGAGGGGCUUUCCAGGGGAGAUGGAGGUCCACUGGAGGGAUCUGCAAGCACAAAUGAGACAAUAAAACAGUGUUAGCAACUUUAAUUGGGGGCUGAAAUCAAUGAUGUCAUUUUCACCCAAAAUGAAUUGUUACUGUAGUGUCUGGUAAAUGUCAAAUAGAUUUAGUUUGACAAAGAAUGUCACCAUGUUUUUGUGUGAAAAACACUUGAUUAAAAAUGUAUUUCCAGUUUCAAUAACUUGUUACUCAAACCAGUCGGCCCAUUUUUUAGCACUAAUUCCAAUAGCCAGCAGCAAUUGUGCAAUGAGUGUAUUGUAUAACUGAUCAGCUCAGCCAACUGUCACGCAGAAGAAUGACCCUUGUUAGAACUUGUUUUGCAACCUCCGCCAAGUAGGUCAUGUUUACAGUCGUGCGUGUCUCUGGUGAAGUGCCAGAUCUCCCACACACUGGGUACAAAAGUAACACCGUACAAAAACGGAGCACCUUUUGGUGCAGAUCGUGGCCCAAUGGGUUCCUUUUCACAUUUGGCGCACUGACCCUUGCACAAACGCCCCGACAUCCCUCGGACGGAAGCGUGUCCUCCAACCCGCCUAAUUUCCCACCACUGCGCAAUCUCAUGCGCAAGUGUUCCGAAAACAACCAGGGGAAACUUUUUUUUUUGGAAGUUGAACUCGAGCGUGUUCACGGGUGAGGACAACCCGAGGAGAACAUAAGCACGUGCAGAAACGUCUCCGCUAACAACCUACAAGCGACACAUUCUCCGUCACGUUGCUGCACCCCUCCCCCACGCGCCAACAUGGCGCCCAGCGUUCUGUAAACUGCUUGCGGGCUGGACGGAGAAUACUAUAACCGUGUUGGUGACGGGUUAACCGCCCGGCUGCGCCCACCGGCACUGGCGUAGGGUGCACGUGAAUCACGCGCGCGAUAAGCGUCCACACCGCAUGAACCUAGAAGGCAAAACAAAAAAAAAACUAGCGCCCAACAAGCUAGCAGCACCCGGGGGCGCCCACCAAAACAGCCCCAACGCACGCGUGUGCUAGCAACACAAGCUAGCCGGGCUGCUGGUGGUAUGAACCCGGUCAGCGUGUAUCACCAUUCAUAUUUACGAUGCCACCGAGUUGUGUGUUUUUAUCCAGCAGCAUAUUAGCAAAUGGCUCCCAGAAGAAGCACCACAUGGGCAGGAUGUGGUUUCGGCGAACACCUUCCAUCCACUCCACAGCGUGUUCUCGUCGCUGGCCGCCUUAGCCAGCCGAGGAU